rnacentral:tRNA from 1 species
UAUAUUUUAGUGUAGGAUGCACAAAAGUUUUUGAUACUUUUAGAAAUAGUUUAAAUCUAUUAAAUAUAA